UACGUAGGGCGCAAGCGUUUAUCCGGAAUUAUUGGGCGUAAAGAGCUCGUAGGCGGUUUGUCGCGUCUGCUGUGAAAGACCGGGGCUCAACUCCGGUUCUGCAGUGGGUACGGGCAGACUAGAGUGCAGUAGGGGAGACUGGAAUUCCUGGUGUAGCGGUGAAAUGCGCAGAUAUCAGGAGGAACACCGAUGGCGAAGGCAGGUCUCUGGGCUGUAACUGACGCUGAGGAGCGAAAAGCAUGGGGAGCGAACAGG
rnacentral:rRNA from 1 species